rnacentral:rRNA from 1 species
UACUAGAGUAGCACUCGCAUAUCAAUAAGCGGAGGAAAAGAAACUAACAAGGAUUCCCCUAGUAACGGCGAGUGAAGCGGGAAGAGCUCAAAUUUGAAAUCUUAAAGGGUUUCCCUUUACGAAUUGUAGUUUAAAGAAGUGUUUUCUGUUGAGGUUUUGGUAAAAGUUCUUUGGAAUAGGACAUCAUAGAGGGUGAGAAUCCCGUAUUUGACCUUUACUUUCAACUUUGUGAUACACUUUCAAAGAGUCGGAUUGUUUGGGAAUGCAGUCCAAAAUGGGUGGUAAAUUUCAUCUAAAGCUAAAUAUUGGCGAGAGACCGAUAGCGAACAAGUACCGUGAGGGAAAGACUGAAAAGAACUUUGAGAAGAGAGUUAAACAGUACGUGAAAUUGUCAAAAGGGAAGCGUUUGACACCAGUGUUGUUUUUCUGAAAAUCAAUUAAAGAACUGUUUAUGCUAAGCUGUUUAGACUUUAUCAGCUAUCUGUUUAGUUUUAGGCUUUUCUUUAAUGCACUUUUCAGUUAACAAGUCAACAUCAAUUUCUUUUGCUGUAAAAAAGCUUGAGGAAGGUGGCUUGAGAUUCGUCUUAAGUGUUUAUAGCCUCUUGCCUAUGCAGUCGGAGAGAUUGAGGUCUGCAGCGUAGAUCCUUCGGGGCUAAAUGCAUUUGUGCUAAGUUAUAGCAUUUUAUAGACAACUUGUUGACUAUGAUUUGUCUUGUAGCUUACUCGCUUAUGUUAUUUUACCUACGCUUAGGAUGUUGAGCGCAUGUCUCUCUCU